rnacentral:rRNA from 1 species
GGGAAUUAUUGGGCGUAAGAGCUUGUAGGUGGCUUGUCGCGUCUGCCGUGAAAACCCGAGGCUCAACCUCGGGCGUGCGGUGGGUACGGGCAGGCUAGAGUGUGGUAGGGGAGACUGGAACUCCUGGUGUAGCGGUGAAAUGCGCAGAUAUCAGGAAGAACACCGAUGGCGAAGGCAGGUCUCUGGGCCAUCACUGACACUGAGAAGCGAAAGCAUGGGUAGCGAACAGGAUUAGAUACCCUGGUAGUCCAUGCCGUAAACGUUGGGCACUAGGUGUGGGGGACAUUCCACGUUUUCCGCGCCGUAGCUAACGCAUUAAGUGCCCCGCCUGGGGAGUACGGCCGCAAGGCUAAAACUCAAAGGAAUUGACGGGGGCCCGCACAAGCGGCGGAGCAUGCUGAUUAAUUCGAUGCAACGCGAAGAACCUUACCAAGGCUUGACAUGCACUGGACGGCUGCAGAGAUGUGGCUUUCUUUGGACUGGUGCACAGGUGGUGCAUGGUUGUCGUCAGCUCGUGUCGUGAGAUGUUGGGUUAAGUCCCGCAACGAGCGCAACCCUCGUUCUAUGUUGCCAGCACGUGAUGGUGGGGACUCAUAGGAGACUGCCGGGGUCAACUCGGAGGAAGGUGGGGACGACGUCAAAUCAUCAUGCCCCUUAUGUCUUGGGCUUCAAGCAUGCUACAAUGGUCGGUACAAUGGGUUGCGAAACUGUGAGGUGGAGCGAAUCCCAAAAAGCCGGCCUCAGUUCGGAUUGGGGUCUGCAACUCGACCCCAUGAAGUCGGAGUCGCUAGUAAUCGCAGAUCAGCAACGCUGCGGUGAAUACGUUCCCGGGCC